CUGCGAGUGAAGCGGGAAAAGCUCAAAUUUAAAAUCUGGCGGUCUCUGGCCGUCCGAGUUGUAAUCUAGAGAAGUGCUGCCCGCGCUGGACCGUGUACAAGUCUCCUGGAAUGGAGCGUCAUAGAGGGUGAGAAUCCCGUCUCUGACACGGACUACCAGGGCUUUGUGGUACGCUCUCAAAGAGUCGAGUUGUUUGGGAAUGCAGCUCAAAAUGGGUGGUAAAUUCCAUCUAAAGCUAAAUAUUGGCGAGAGACCGAUAGCGAACAAGUUCCGUGAGGGAAAGAUGAAAAGAACUUUGGAAAGAGAGUUAAACAGUACGUGAAAUUGCUGAAAGGGAAACGCUUGAAGUCAGUCGCGUUGGCCGGGGAUCAGCCUCGCUUUUGCGUGGUGUACUUUCUGGUUGACGGGUCAGCAUCAAUUUUGACCGCUGGAAAAAGGCUUGGGGAAUGUGGCAGCUUCGGCUGUGUUAUAGCCCCUUGUCACAUACAGCGGUUGGGAUUGAGGAACUCAGCACGCCGCAAGGCCGGGUUUCGACCACGUUCGUGCUUAGGAUGCUGGCAUAAUGGCUUUAAGCGACCCGUCUUGAAACACGGACCAAGGAGUCUAACAUGCCUGCGAGUGUUUGGGUGGAAAACCCGAGCGCGUAAUGAAAGUGAAAGUUGAGAUCCCUGUCGUGGGGAGCAUCGACGCCCGGACCAGAACUUUUGGGACGGAUCCGCGGUAGAGCAUGUAUGUUGGGACCCGAAAGAUGGUGAACUAUGCCUGAAUAGGGUGAAGCCAGAGGAAACUCUGGUGGAGGCUCGUAGCGAUUCUGACGUGCAAAUCGAUCGUCAA
rnacentral:rRNA from 1 species